CAGGGUUAUGGUCAAGGUUAUGGUUAUGGUCAGAGUUAUAGUCAGGGUUAUGGUCAGAGUUGUGGUCAGGGUUAUGGUCAGAGUUAUGGUCAGGGUAAUGGUCAGAGUUAUGGUCAGAGUUAUGGUCAGGGUAAUGGUCAGAGUUAUGGUCAGAAUUAUGGUCAGGGUUAUGGUCAUGGUUAUGGUCAGGGUUAUGGUCAUGGUUAUGGUCAGGGUUAUGGUCAAGAUUAUGUUCAUAGUUAUGGUCAGAGUUAUGGUCAGGGUUAUGGUCAGGGUUAUGGUCAAGGUUAUGGUCAGGGUUAUGGUCAGAGUUAUGGUCAGGGUUAUGGUCAGAGUUAUGGUCAGGGUUAUGGUCAGGGUCAGGGUUAUGGUCAGAGUUAUGGUCAGAGUUAUGGUCAGGGUUAUGGUCAGGGUUAUGGUCAGGGUUACAGCUAGCGGGAUGUCCUCUCCAUGAUGAUGCAAAACUGCCAUCUGUUUGAAUGUGUAACACCAAACCAACGUAGGCAAACCAAGUUAUUCCCGAUCUCAGACAUGUUAUAACAGACAUGUUAUAACAGAUGUUGUCAUGGAUGUAAAUGCUUUUAUGUGU
ensembl:lncRNA